rnacentral:rRNA from 1 species
CCUUAGAGUUUGAUCCUGGCUCAGGAUGAACGCUAGCUACAGGCUUAACACAUGCAAGUCGAGGGGCAGCAUGAUCUUAGCUUGCUAAGAUUGAUGGCGACCGGCGCACGGGUGAGUAACACGUAUCCAACCUGCCGUCUACUUGGGGAUAGCCUUCUGAAAGGAAGAUUAAUACCCGAUGCGAUCUGUUGGCCGCAUGGCUGAUGGAUGAAAGAUUGAUUGGUAGACGAUGGGGAUGCGUUCCAUUAGGUUGUUGGCGGGGUAACGGCCCACCAAGCCGACGAUGGAUAGGGGUUCUGAGAGGAAGGUCCCCCACAUUGGAACUGAGACACGGUCCAAACUCCUACGGGAGGCAGCAGUGAGGAAUAUUGGUCAAUGGACGAGAGUCUGAACCAGCCAAGUAGCGUGAAGGAUGACUGCCCUAUGGGUUGUAAACUUCUUUUAUACGGGAAUAAAGUGCACCACGUGUGGUGUUUUGUAUGUACCGUUAUGAAUAAGCAUCGGCUAACUCCGUGCCAGCAGCCGCGGUAAUACGGAGGAUGCGAGCGUUAUCCGGAUUUAUUGGGUUUAAAGGGAGCGCAGACGGGUCUUUAAGUCAGUUGUGAAAGUCUGCGGCUCAACCGUAGAAUUGCAGUUGAAACUGGGGAUCUUGAGUGCGGACGAGGAAGGCGGAAUUCGUGGUGUAGCGGUGAAAUGCUUAGAUAUCACGAAGAACUCCGAUUGCGAAGGCAGCCUUCCAGACCGUAACUGACGUUCAUGCUCGAAAGUGCGGGUAUCAAACAGGAUUAGAUACCCUGGUAGUCCGCACGGUAAACGAUGAAUACUCGCUGUUGGAGAUAGCCUGUCAGCGGCCUCGAGAAAGCAUUAAGUAUUCCACGUGGGGAGUACUCCGGCAACGGUGAAACUCAGAAGGAAUUGUUGGGGGCCCGCACAUCAGGAGGAACAAGUCGUUUCAUCCGAUGAUACGCGAGGAACUUUACCCGGGAUGAAAUUGCAGCGGCAUGUAUCAGUCACAGUUCAGUGAGCAAUCACGGCUGUGAAGGUGGUGCAUGGUUGUAGUCAGCUCGUGCCGUGAGGCGUCGGGAGAAGUGCCAGAGUGAGAGCUACCAUGGGGGGGUCGUUGCUAUCAGGUACAGUGUGGAUUGUACGGGGAGUGGCCAUUGUAAGAUGCGAGGAAGGUGGGGAAAAGGAUAAAUCUGCUCGGCCAAUCAGUCUGUGGUUCCUCACCCGUUCCAACGGGGGAUAGAACAGGCAGCUACUGGUCGUCUGGAUGGAAAUUCCGCAAACCGCUGUCAGGUCGGAUAGGAGUUUUCAACCCGAGUCCAGGUAGCCGGCUUUGUUAGCAAUCG